rnacentral:tRNA from 1 species
AAAAAGUUAGUUAAAAUUAAAUAACCUAAAUUUGUCAAGUUUAAAUUAUAAAAAUUAUACUUUUUU